AUGAUGUGGUGAGGAUGAUCGAACUCCGAUUACUUUUAUUAAUAUAGAUUUAUUGAUCAUCUAUUGCUUAACCCUCUGAUGGGGCGUGUUUGGAUUCUCACCCGGGUGCUCCCUGCCCUCUGGGUAUUAUGUAAUCUUGUUUAACAUUUGAUAAACAACAAGGAUGGAGUGAUACCUGAGUGAUACUCUGAUACAAAUUUGAACCCAGCAUUUAAGCUAGAAGAUAGAUUAUUUCAGGAACUUCAGGAUAUUAUGAAAUUAUUUGGAUUCUGAUCUGAAAAUUGUUCAAUUACAACAAUUCAGCUAUAUUGCCAUAACAUUAAAAAAAUGUUAAAAUUCUGCUGAUGCAAGAUUUUGUGCUGCAUGAAUUUAGCAUCAGCUUUGGAGGAUUAAUGUAUUUAUAAAAAAAAAGACAAAUUAUUAAGAAAUUUAGCGAUCUCAAGAAUUGAAUUUGAUUGUGGAUUAAAUUGAUCGAAUCUUGGUGGAAGUUACUCCGAAAAUAUAUAUACAGUCGAUUCUCUGAAUCUUUUUUUGUAAGUUCAGACAUCAAGUUUUUGUUUUCUAUCAUUUUCUGCAUACGAAAUCGGACACUGGCAUCGAUUUUUUUUUUCUUGUCGACAGAAUCAUAGCCUGAGUAUUGAAAUGGACAAAGGGUGGAUGGAUAGCGAUAAAUAGAUGAGAACUGAAUCGGUUUCGAUUUUGAUUUUAUUUCCUUUUCCUGAUACGUAAUGCACAACACGUUUCAUUAGCCUUCGCCAACGAACAGCACGUACGAUCGUAAUUGCUACAGUUCUCUUUUCUCUUUUUUUUUUAAUUUUUUUUUCGCACUUACAGUACGUACAAGUGCACCGCGUGC